rnacentral:ncRNA from 1 species
GAUAGGUUGCUGUCGCUACUGUGAUUGGACACUGACGCAGAGUCAACUAGCCUUGAGCAAGUGGUUCUCCGCGCGUGGAACCUGGGACGGUCCGAGCCAUGAGGGGGGAGGCUCGGACCGUCCGUA